CGUGCGUUUGACGAGCUCUGCCCCUUCGUUCGUGGGUGAGCACAAAUGACAAGUCCUCCUCCCCCAUUAAUUAUUUGAUCUAUUCCGAUGAAACUUGAUAGCUAGCUAUAUAUGUGUCUUGAAUCAUCAGUAUGCGUAACCAAUAUGUGUCUCCCGUUCGAAAGCGUCAUAGUUAUAAAUAUGCAUGCAUUUGCAUAUUUAUAACCUUGAUUCUUUCGAAUUGUCCAACGCUAUCCAUGGACAGCCCGAGUAUGUGUAGAUUGGGUUCGUUUUUGAAGGAAAUAUGCCCUAGAGGCAAUAAUAUAGUUAUUAUUUAUUUCCUUAUUUCAUGAUAAAUGUUUAUUAUUCAUGCUAGAAUUGUAUUAACCGGAAACAUAAUACAUGUGUGGAUAGAUAGACAAACAGAGUAUCACUAGUAUGCCUCUACUUCACUAGCUUGUUAAUCAAAGAUGGUUAAGUUUCCUAACCAUAGACAAAGGAGUUGUCAUUUGAUUAACAAGGUCACAUCAUUGGUUGAAUGAUCUGAUUGACAUGACCUAAUCCAUUAGCUUAGCACUCGAUCGUUUAGUAUGUUGCUAUUGCUUUUAUCCAUGACUUAUACAUGUUCCUUUAACUAUGAGAUUAUGCAACUCCCGUUUGCCGGAGGAACACUUUGGGUACUACCAAACGUCACAACGUAACUGGGUGAUUAUAAAGGAGUACUACAGGUGUCUCCAAAGGUAGAUGUUGGGUUGGCGUAUUUCGAGAUUAGGAUUUGUCACUCCGAUUGUCGGAGAGGUAUCUCUGGGCCCUCUCGGUAAUGCACAUCACAUAAGCCUUGCAAGCAUUGCAACUAAUGUGUUAGUUGUGAGAUGAUGUAUUACGGAACGAGUAAAGAGACUUACCGGUAACGAGAUUGAACUAGGUAUUGGAUACCGACGAUCGAAUCUCGGGUAAGUAACAUACCGAUGACAAAGGGAACAAACGUAUGUUGUUAUGCGGUCUGACCGAUAAAGAUCUUCGUAGAAUAUGUAGGAGCCAAUAUGGGCAUCCAGGUCCCGCUAUUGGUUAUUGACCGGAGACGUGUCUCGGUCAUGUCUACAUUGUUCUUGAACCGUAGGGUCCGCACGCUUAAGGUUUCGAUGACGGUUAUAUUAUGAGUUUAUGUAUUUUGAUGUACCGAAGGAGUUCGGAGUCCCGGAUGAGAUCGGGGACAUGACGAGGAGUCUCGAAAUGGUCGAGACGUAAAGAUCGGUAUAUUGGGCGACUAUAUUCGGACAUCGGAAAGGUUCUGAGUGGUUCGGGUAUUUUCGGAGGUACCGGGGAGUUACGGAAAUACGGGGAAGAGUAUUGGGCCUUAUUGGGCCAUACGGAAAUAGAGGGAAAAGGUGGAAAGGAAGGAGGCGCGCAGCCCCCCUCUGGUCCGAAUUGGACAAGGGGUGCGGCCCCCCUUUCCUUCCUCCUCUCCCCUUCUUUCCCCCUUCUCCUACUCCAACAAGGAAGGAGGGAGUCCUACUCCCGGUGGGAGUAGGACUCCCCUUGGCGCGCCGCCUCCUAGGCCGGCCGCCCCCUCCCCCUUGCUCCUUUAUAUACGGGGGCAGGGGGGCACCCCAUCACACACAAGUUGAUCUUCGUGAUCGUUCCUUAGCCGUGUGCGGUGCCCCCCUCCACCAUAUUCCACCUCGAAUAUAUCGUUGCAGUGCUUAGGCGAAGCCCUGCGCCGGUAGAACAUCAAGAUUGUCACCACGCCGUCAUGCUGACGGAACUCCUCCCCGAAGCUUUGCUGGAUCGGAGCUAGGGGCGCGUCAUCGAGCUGAACGUGUGCCAAGAACUCGGAGGUGCCGGAGUAACGGUACUUGGAUCAGUCGGAUCGGGAAGACGUACGACUACUUCCUCUACGUUGUGUCAACGCUUCCGCUCCGGUCUACGAGGGUACGUAGACAACACUCUCCCCUCUCGUUGUUAUGCAUCACCAUGAUCUUGCGUGUGCGUAGGAAAUUUUUUGAAAUUACUACGUUUCCAACAGUGGCAUCCGAGCCUAGGUUUUUAUGGUUUGAUGUUAUUUGCACGAGUAGAACACAAGUGAGUUGUGGACAAUACAAGUCAUACUGCCUACCAGCAUGUCAUACUUUGGUUCAGCGGUAUUGUUGGAUGAGAUGACCCGGACCAACCUUACGCGUACGCUUACGCGAGACCGGUUCCCUCGACGUGCUUUGCACACAGAUGGCUUGCGGGAGACAUCUCACCAACUUUAGUUGAACCAAGUGUGGCUACGCCCGGUCCUUGAGAAGGUUAAAACGGAGUCUAUUUGACAAACUAUCGUUGUGGUUUUGAUGCGUAGGUAAGAUGAGUUCUUGCUUAAGCCCGUAGCAGCCAUGUAAAACUUGCAACAAACAAAGUAGAGGACGUCUAACUUGUUUUUGCAGGGCAUGUUGUGAUGUGAUAUGGUCAAGACAUGAUGCUAAAUUUUAUUGUAUGAGAUGAUCAUGUUUUGUAACCGAGUUAUCGGCAACUGGCAGGAGCCAUAUGGUUGUCGCUUUAUUGUAUGCAAUGCAAUCGCCCUGUAAUGCUUUACUUUAUCACUAAGCGGUAGCGAUAGUCGUAGAAGCAUAAGAUUGGCGAGACGACAAUGAUGCUACGAUGGAGAUCAAGGUGUCGCGUCGGUGACGAUGGUGAUCAUGAUGGUGCUGCAGAGAUGGAGAUCAUGAAGCACAAGAUGAUGAUGACCAUAUCAUAUCACUUAUAUUGAUUGCAUGUGAUGUUUAUCUUUUUAUGCAUCUUAUUUUGCUUUUAUUGACGGUAGCAUUAUAAGAUGAUCUCUCAUUAAUUAUCAAGAAGUGUUCUCCCCGAGUAUGCACCGUUGCCAAAGUUCGUCGUGCCCAGACACCACGUGAUGAUCGGGUGUGAUAAGCUCUACGUCCAUCUACAACGGGUGCAAGCCAGUUUUGCACACGCAGAAUACUCGGGUUAUACUUGACGAGCCUAGCAUAUGCAGAUAUGGCCUCGGAACACGGAGACCGAAAGGUCGAGCGUGAAUCAUAUAGUAGAUAUGAUCAACAUGAUGAUGUUCACCAUUGAGAACUAAUCCAUUUCACGUGAUGAUCGGUUAUGGUUUAGGUUGAUUUGGAUCACGUGAUCACUUAGAAGAAUAGAGGGGUGUAUAUCUAAGUGGGAGUUCUUAAGUAAUAUGAUUAAUUGAACUUUAAUUUAUCAUGAACUUAGUCCUGGUAGUAUUAGCAUAUCUAUGUUGUAGAUCAAUAGCUCGCGUUGUUGCUUUCAUAUGUUUAUUUUGAUAUGUUCCUAGAGAAACUUGUGCUGAAAUAUGUUAGUAGCAAUGAUGCGGAUUGGAUCCGUGAUCUGAGGUUUAUCCUCAUUGCUGCACAGAAGAAUUAUGUCCUUGAUGCACCGCUAGGUGACAGACCUAUUGCAAGAGCAGAUGCAGACGUUAUGAACGUUUGGCUAGCUCAAAAUGAUGACUACUUGAUAGUUUAAGUGCACCAUGCUUAACGGCUUAGAAUCGGGACUUCAAAGACGUUUUGAACGUCAUGGACCAUAUGAGAUGUUCCAGGAGUUGAAGUUAAUAUUUCAAGCAAAUACCCGAGUUGAAGAGAUAUGAAGUCUCCAACAAGUUCUAUGGCUAAAAGAUGGAGGAGAAUCGCUCAACUAGUGAGCAUGUGCUCAGAUUGUCUGGGUACUACAAUCGCUUGAAUCAAGUGGGAGUUAAUCUUCCAGAUAAGAUAGUGAUUUACAGAAUUCUCUAGUCACCAUCACCAAGUUAGUAGAACUUCGUGAUGAACUAUAGUAUGCAAGGGAUGACGAAAACGACUCCCGAGCUUUUCAUGAUGAUGAAAUCGGCGAAUGUAGAAAUCAAAGAAAAACAUCAAGUGUUGAUGGUUGACAAGAUCACUAGUUUCAAGAAAAAGGGCAAAAGGCAGAAGGAGAACUUCAAGAAGAACGGCAAAGUAAGUUGCUGCUCAAGUGAAGAAGCCCAAGUCUGAUCCUAAGCCUGAGACUAAGUGCUUCUACUACAAAGGGACUGGUCACUGGAAGCGGAACUACCCCAAGUAUUUGGCGGAUAAGAAGGAUGGCAAAGCGAACAAAAGUAUAUUUGAUAUACAUGUCAUUGAUGUGUACUUUACUAGUGUUCAUAGCAACCCCUCGGUAUUUGAUACUGGUACAGUUGCUAAGAGUAGUAACUCGAAACGGGAGUUGCAGAAUGAACAGAGACUAGUUAAGGGUGAAGUAACGAUGUGUGUUGGAAGUAGUUCCAAGGUUGAUAUGAUCAUCAUCGCACUCUCCCUAUACUUUCGGGAUUAGUGUUGAAACUAAAUAAGUGUUAUUUGGUGUUUGCGUUGAGCAUGAAUAUGAUUUGAUCAUGUCUAUUGCAAUACGGUUAUUCAUUUAAGUUAGAGAACAAUUGUUGUUCUGUUUACAUGAGUAAAACCUUCUAUGGUUAUACACACCAACGAAAUGGUUUGUUGGAUCUCGAUCGUAGUGAUACACAUAUUCAUAAUAUUGAAGCCAAAAGAUGCAAAGUUAAUAAUGAUAAGUGCAACUUAUUUGUGGCACUGCCGUUUAGGUCAUAUUGGUGUAAAGCGCAUGAAGAAACUCCAUGCUGAUGGGCUUUUGGAAUCACUUGAUUAUGAAUAACUUUGAUGCUUGCGAACCAUGCCUCAUGGGCAAGAUGACUAAAACGCCGUUCUCCGGAACAAUGAAGCAAGCAACAGAUUUGUUGGAAAUCAUACAUACUGAUGUAUGUGGUCCGAUGAAUAUUAAGGCUUGCAGCAGGUAUCAUUAUUUUCUGACCUUCACAGAUGAUUUGAGCAGAUAUGGGUAUAUCUACUUGAUGAAACAUAAGUCUGAAACAUUUGAAAAGUUCAAAGAAUUUCAGAGUGUAGUGGAAAAUCAUCGUGACAAGAAAAUAAGGUUUCUACGAUCUGAUCGCGGAGACAAAUAUUUGAGUUACGAGUUUGGUCUUCAAUUAAAACAAUGUGGAAUAGUUUCACAAACUCAUGCCACCUGGAACACCAUAGCAUAAUGGUGUGUCCGAACGUCAUAACCGUACUUUAUUGGAUAUAGUGCAAUCUAUGAUGUCUCUUACCGAUCUACCACUAUCGUUUUGGGGUUAUGCAUUAAAGACAGCUGCAUUCACGUUAAAAGGGCACCAUCUAAGUCCGUUGAGAUGACACAAUCUGAACUGUGGUUUGGCAAGAAACCAAAGUUGUCGUUUCUUAAAGUUUGGGAUUGUGAUGCUUAUAUGAAAAAGUUUCAUCCUGAUAAGCUCAAACCCGAAUCGGAGAAAUAUGUCUUCAUAGGAUACCCAAAGGAGACUUUUGGGUACACCUUCUAUCACAGAUCCGAAGGCAAGACUUUCGUUGCUGAGAAUGGAUCCUUUCCAGAGAAGGAGUUUCUCUCGAAAGAAGUGAGUGGGAGGAAAGUAGAAAACUUGAUAAGGUAAUUAUACCUUCUCCCUUAUUGGAAAAAAGUUCAUCACAGAAAUCUGUUCUUGUGACUACUACACCAAUUAGUGAGGAAGCUAAUGAUGAUGAUCAUAUAACUUCAGAUCAAGUUACUACCGAAUCUCGUAGGUAAACCAGAGUGAGAUCCGCACCAGAGUGGUACGGUAAUCCUGUUCUGGAGGUCAUGUUACUUGACCAUGACGAACCUGCGAACUAUGAGGAAGCGAUGAUGAGCCCAGAUUCCGCGAAAUGGUUUGAGGCCAUGAAAUCUGAGAUAUGAUCCAUGUAUGAGAACAAAGUGUGGACUUUGGUUAACUUGCCCGAUGAUCAGCAAGCCAUAGAAAAAUAAAUGGAUCUUCAAGAGGAAGACGGACGCUGAUAGUAGUACUAUCUACAAAGCUAGACUUGUCGAAAAAGGUUUUUGACAAAGUUCAAGGUGUUGACUAUGAUGAGAUUUUCUCACUCGUAUCGAUGCUUAAAGUCUGUCCGAAUCAUGUUAGCAACUGCCGCAUUUUAUGAAAUUUGGCAAAUGGAUAACGAAACUGCAAUCCUUAAUGGAUUUCUUAAAGAAGAGUUGUAUAUGAUGCAACCAGAAAGUUUUGUCAAUCCUUAAGGUGCUAACAAAAUAUGCAAGCUCCAGCGAUCCAUCUAAUGGACUGGUGCAAGCAUCUCGGAGUUGGAAUACACGCUUUGAUAAGUUGAUCAAAGCAUAUAGUUUUAUACAGACUUGCGGUGAAGCCUGUAUUUACAAGAAAGUGAGUGGGAGCACUACAACAUUUCUGAUAAGUAUAUGUGAAUGACAUAUUGUUGAUCAGAAAUAAUGUAGAAUUAUUCUGUAAAGCACAAAAGAGUGUUUGAAAGGAGUUUUUCAAAGGAAGACCUCGGUGAAGCUACUUACAUAUUGAGCAUCAAGAUCUAUAGAGAUAGAUCAAGACGCUUGAUAAGUUUUUUCAAUGAGUACAUACCUUGACAAGAUUUUGAAGUAGUUCAAAAUGGAACAGUCAAAGAAAGAGUUCUUACCUGUGUUACAAGGUGUGAAAUUGAGUAAGACUCAAAGCCCGACCAUGGCAGAAGAUAGAAAGAGAAUGAAAGUCAUUUCCUAUGCCUCAGCCAUAGGUUCUAUAAAGUAUGCCAUGCUAUGUACCAGAUCUAUUGUAUACCCUACACUGAUUUUGGCGAGGGAGUACAAUAGUGAUCUAGGAGUAGAUCACUGGACAUCGGUCAAAAUUAUCCUUAGUGGAAUAAGGAUAUGUUUCUCGAUUAUGGAGGUGACAAAAAGGUUCGCCGUAAAGGGUUACGUCGAUGCAAGUUUUGACACAAAUCAAGAUGACUCUAAGUCUCGAUCUAGAUACAUAUUGAAAGUGGGAGCAAUUAGCUAGAGUAGCUCCAUGUUCCGAGCAGAGCAUUGUUGACAUAGAAUUUGCAAAAUACAUGCGGACCUGAAUGUGGCAGACCCGUUGACUAAAAUUCUCUCACAAGCAAAACAUGAUCACACCUUAGUACUCCUUGGGUGUUAAUCACAUAGCGAUGUGAACUAGAUUGCUGAAUCUAUUAAACCCUUUGGGUGUUGGUCACAUGUCGAUGUGAACUAUGGGUGUUAAUCACAUGAUGAUGUGAACUAUCGAUGUUAAUCACAUGGUGAUGUGAUCUAGAUUAUUGACUCUAGUGCAAGUGGGAGACUGAAGGAAAUAUGCCCUAGAGGCAAUAAUAAAGUUAUUAUUUAUUUCCUUAUUUCAUGAUAAAUGUUUAUUAUUCAUGCUAGAAUUGUAUUAACCGGAAACAUAAUACAUGUGUGGAUAUAUAGACAAACAGAGUGUCACUAGUAUGCCUCUACUUGACUAGCUUGUUAAUCAAAGAUGGUUACGUUUCCUAACCAUAGACAAAGGAGUUGUCAUUUGAUUAACAAGGUCACAUCAUUGGUUGAAUGAUCUGAUUGACAUGACCCAAUCCAUUAGCUUAGCACUCGAUCGUUUAGUAUGUUGCUAUUGCUUUUAUCCAUGACUUAUACAUGUUCCUUUAACUAUGAGAUUAUGCAACUCCCGUUUGCCGGAGGAACACUUUGGGUAAUACCAAACGUCACAACGUAACUGGGUGAUUAUAAAGGAGUACUACAGGUGUCUCCAAAGGUAGAUGUUGGGUUGGCGUAUUUCGAGAUUAGGAUUUGUCACUCCGAUUGUCGGAGAGGUAUCUCUGGGCCCUCUCGGUAAUGCACAUCACAUAAGCCUUGCAAGCAUUGCAACUAAUGUGUUAGUUGUGAGAUGAUGUAUUACGGAACGAGUAAAGAGACUUACCGGUAACGAGAUUGAACUAGGUAUUGGAUACCGACGAUCGAAUCUCGGGUAAGUAACAUACCGAUGACAAAGGGAACAAACGUAUGUUGUUAUGCGGUCUGACCGAUAAAGAUCUUCGUAGAAUAUGUAGGAGCCAAUAUGGGCAUCCAGGUCCCGCUAUUGGUUAUUGACCGGAGACGUGUCUCGGUCAUGUCUACAUUGUUCUCAAACCGUAGGGUCCGCACGCUUAAGGUUUCGAUGACGGUUAUAUUAUGAGUUUAUGUAUUUUGAUGUACCGAAGGAGUUCGGAGUCCCGGAUGAGAUCGGGGACAUGACGAGGAGUCUCGAAAUGGUCGAGACGUAAAGAUCGGUAUAUUGGACGACUAUAUUCGGACAUCGGAAAGGUUCUGAGUGGUUCGGGUAUUUUCGGAGGUACCGGGGAGUUACGGAAAUACGGGGAAGAGUAUUGGGCCUUAUUGGGCCAUACGGAAAUAGAGGGAAAAGGUGGAAAGGAAGGAGGCGCGCAGCCCCCCUCUGGUCCGAAUUGGACAAGGGGUGCGGCCCCCCUUUCCUUCCUCCUCUCCCCUUCUUUCCCCCUUCUCCUACUCCAACAAGGAAGGAGGGAGUCCUACUCCCGGUGGGAGUAGGACUCCCCUUGGCGCGCCUCCUCCUAGGCCGGCCGCCCCCUCCCCCUUGCUCCUUUAUAUAUGGGGGCAGGGGGGCACCCCAUCACACACAAGUUGAUCUUCGUGAUCGUUCCUUAGCCGUGUGCGGUGCCCCCCUCCACCAUAUUCUACCUCGUAUAUAUCGUUGCAGUGCUUAGGCGAAGCCCUGCGCCGGUAGAACAUUAAGAUCGUCACCACGCCGUCGUGCUGACGGAACUCCUCCCCGAAGCUUUGCUGGAUCGGAGCUAGGGGCGCGUCAUCGAGCUGAACGUGUGCCAAGAACUCGGAGGUGCCGGAGUAACGGUACUUGGAUCGGUCGGAUCGGGAAGACGUACGACUACUUCCUCUACGUUGUGUCAACGCUUCCGCUCCGGUCUACGAGGGUACGUAGACAACACUCUCCCCUCUCGUUGCUAUGCAUCACCAUGAUCUUGCGUGUGCGUAGGAAUUUUUUUGAAAUUACUACGUUUCCAACAGUUUUCCCAUAUGCUUUGCUCCGGAUCUGACGCAUAUAUUUCGUCAGUGCCUCCCCUGUUGUUCUCCGGGUACACAUCCUCUCUGUUUAUUGCAGAGACGUGUAUCAGGAGAACAGCGGGGAGGUGCUGCCGAAAUUUUGCGUCGGAUCCGGAGCAUAGCAUGGGAAAAUGAACCCAAUCUACACAUACACGGGUGGGAUUAAGACCUAUCAUUACCUAUUAGAGUGUAGGUUGCAUGGACGUAAUAAAAUUGACAAAGUAGAUCAACUGAUGAAUAUAUACAUGGUGAAUUACAUAUAUAAUUGUUGUGUGUCCAGUAGCUCUGAAAGUCAAGAUGAGUGACCGUGCUUGGAUGUAUACCGGUCACACUGGUCAGAACAAAUGGAGCGCUGAAUGGUUCACAAAAACUAAGGGGUUUGUGCAAGCCGCAUUUGCAAAUGGCCAAAAGAAAACCUGGUGCCCCUGUUUCCGGUGCGGCAAUUGGGAAAAGAAGACAUAGGCUGAAAUGGGCAAACACCUGCAGAAGAGUGGUUUUACGCCCGAUUAUACGGUGUGGACAUUUCAUGGUGAGUCUGCCCAACGUGACCGAGCUGAGGUGGAUCAUCGUCGCACCGACGAGCAUGGUACCGGGAUGGAAAACAUGGUGCAAGACUAUGAUGAUGCUCGGGAUUCGGACGAGGAGAUGGAGGAAUCUGCAAAGGCCUUCAAUGAAAUGUUGGAGUCUUCGAAACGUCCGCUCCACGAGCACACUGAGCUUUGUCAGUUGGAUGCCAUCUCACAAGUAAUGGCUCUGAAGGCUCAGUUCAACUUGGGCAGAGAAUGCUAUGACGCAAUUAUGACAGUAUUUGGACGCUUUCUACCCAAAGGCCAUGUAAUGCCUGCAAACCUGUACCAGUCGGACAAAAUCCUCCGUGCACUGAAGAUGCCCUAUGAGAAGAUACAUGCCUGUGAGAAAGGAUGUGCCUUAUUUAGGCUUGACUAUGCGAACUUGAACUAUUGUCCCAUUUGCAAGUCUUCAAGGUAUAUUGUGGUAGACAACGGUAUGGGUGAGAAGACACAGACCAAAAUCCCCGUUAGUGUUCUUCGGUAUAUGCCAAUCGUACCAAGACUUCAACGUCUUUUCAUGGUCGAAGAGACGGCCAGACAGAUGACAUGGCACAAAACAGGCAAAAGAACCGAACUAGAUGCAGAUGGGAAUCUGAUGAUGGUACACACAUCGGAUGGUNNNNNNNNNNNNNNNNNNNNNNNNNNNNNNNNNNNNNNNNNNNNNNNNNNNNNNNNNNNNNNNNNNNNNNNNNNNNNNNNNNNNNNNNNNNNNNNNNNNNNNNNNNNNNNNNNNNNNNNNNNNNNNNNNNNNNNNNNNNNNNNNNNNNNNNNNNNNNNNNNNNNNNNNNNNNNNNNNNNNNNNNNNNNNNNNNNNNNNNNNNNNNNNNNNNNNNNNNNNNNNNNNNNNNNNNNNNNNNNNNNNNNNNNNNNNNNNNNNNNNNNNNNNNNNNNNNNNNNNNNNNNNNNNNNNNNNNNNNNNNNNNNNNNNNNNNNNNNNNNNNNNNNNNNNNNNNNNNNNNNNNNNNNNNNNNNNNNNNAAUUGCAAGAAGCCUGGGAUAAUGGGUUCAAGACAUACGACGCCUUUAGCAAACGGAACUUCAUAAUGCGUGUCUGGUACAUGUACUCGACGCAUGACUUGCCGGCGUAUGCGCUAUUCGUUGGCUGGUGUGUGCAUGGAAGGUUCUCGUGCCCCACAUGCAAGGGAGCUCUUGAGUUUCGUUGGCUUCAGGCCGGUCGCAAGUUUUCUUGCUUCGACAUGCAUAGACAGUUCCUGGAUCCUCGCCAUAAGUUCAGGAAAGACAAGAAGAACUUCAUCAGGGGUAGAGUUGUCAAAAACUCUGCACCACCUGCAUUGACAGGCCAACAGACCCUGGAUCAGUUAGACGCUCUCGAGCCAGAUCCACAACGUCCAGGGUACUUCAAGGGGUAUAAUACUAAGCACGCGUGGACUCACAAAACAUGCUUACGGGAUCUGCCUUACUUUAAAGACCUCCUUUGCCCACACAACAUCGACGUGAUGCACACUGAGAAGAAUAUCGCCGAGGCACUUUUUGGUACAUUGUUUGGCAUAGAUGGGAAGUCAAAGGAUAAUACUAAGGCCAGAGUCGAUUUGGAUGCGCUAUGUGAUAGGCCGUUACAAAACAUGAAAGAACCGAAAGGAAAGCAGAACUGGACGAAGCCAAAGGCAUGGUUCAAUCUUGGAAGGCCAGCUAUGAGGGAAAUUCUCUUGUGGGUGCAACAGCAGUUGAUGUUUCCCGAUGGGUAUGCAGCGAAUCUAAAGAGGGGAGCGAAUCUUGAUAAACUGAAGAUAUUUGGUCUCAAGAGUCAUGAUUGGCACAUAUGGAUUGAGCGGGUAAUGCCGGUGAUGUUGCGUGGCUUCAUCCCUGAGGAUGAAUGGCUAGUACUGGCAGAACUCAGCUAUUUCUUCCAUGUUCUUUGUGCGAAAAAACUAUCGCCUGGCGUGCUAGAAGAAAUGGAAGAGUUGGCGCCGGAGUUGAUCUGCAAGUUAGAGAAGAUCUUUCCACCGGGCUUCUUUAAUCCAAUGCAGCAUUUGAUUUUGCAUCUCCCGACCGAGGCAAGAUUGGGGGGGGGCCGUGCAAAAUCGUUGGUGCUACCCAACUGAGAGGAUGCAGAAGACGCUUCGAGAAAAAUGUAAAAAUAAACAUAGAAUUGAAGCAUCGAUGGCUGAGGCAUUCAUUACAGAGGAGGCGGCAAACUUCGUAACAGCGCACUACGAAGCCAAAAAUCGUCAUUUGCAUAAUCCGAAGCCUCGGUACAAUGCUGACGAGCCUAAAAAGGGUGGAUCCAACCUCAGCCUAUUCAAAGGGAAUCUCGCACCAGCUAGUGUUUCACAUCCAGUAUCUUUGGAUAACGAAGAAUGGUGGACCAUUUCGUUGUAUAUCUUCAACAACCUGAUAGAAGUGCGGCCGUACAUUGAGUAAGUUCUCGGUACAUUGUUUCGCAACUUCUAUUUCCUUUGAACUACUCUUAUUCCUGGAUAUGGCAUACAGUCGAUACGUUACCAUAUUCUCGUAUGGAGCGGAGAUCCAAAAGGAUUCCGUCGAAGAGUAUGAGCUUCUCGCAAAGCUAGGAGGUGGCUAUCCCGGUUUCAUCUCUUGGUUCAAACAAACGGUAAUUUCUAUUAGACAAUUUCAUUUCAUUCGCUAAUUUGUGCAUAAUGCAACAAUCCUUUCAUAUUAAACCUGUAGGCUAAUUCAGAGUCUAUGGACGCCGAAUUGAGACAAGUCGCUAACGGUUUUGACUAUAAGGUCCGUUCAUUUGACAAGUACGACAUCAACGGGUAUCACUUUCGUACCUAUGGCAAAGAGCUAUCGAUGGCGGACCGAAAGUCAACAAAUUGUUGUGUAUCUGCUAUCGGUGAAGGAGGUACCGAGUAUUAUGGGAGAGUUGAAGCAAUUUAUGAACUUCUGUUCUAUGGUGAAAACCCACCGAAUGUCGUAGUCUUCAAAUGUUAUUGGUUUCAGCCUAAGGAGACUAGAAGGACUCAUGAACAUGUAGGGCUAGUUGAAAUCAACCAAAGCACUCAUUUAGAUGUUCCUAAUGUCUAUAUUAUGGCUCAACAGGCGACCCAAGUAUUCUAUCUACCGUGGGCCUGCCAAACUAAUCCAAAUCUGAAAGGUUGGGAUGUCGUUUAUGAAGUGCCGCCACGUGCUUGACUUUCUCCCCCAAAGGAAGAGGAUUAUGAACCUCACAUUAACCCAGACACAUAUGAAGGAGAAUUCUUCCAAGAGACGCGUCUUUCCAAAAAGCGUUUCAAGAACCGCUAUAUACUUCACCCCAAAACAUUGAAGUAGACAGCGACAAUGAAUCCGACAUCACCCCAGAGGAGGAACAAGAAGAGCCGGAACAAGAAGAGGUUACUGCUGCGGAUGACCUGUCAAUGCUUGACCGAUUACGUCAAGGUGGCCUUGCACAUGUUGAUGCCAAUGAACCCUAUGAGCCCGUCAUUGAUUAUAGUGAUGAUGAUGAUUAUGCAUUUAUUGAUGAUACUGAUCAAGAUUAUUAGUAGUGUCAGGUAUUAGAUUUUUUUUAUGUUGUACUUGAUGAUGAUACACUUAAGUGAUACACAUAUUAUUAUUCAUGUCGGUCUUUUUUUAUGUUGUACUAAUUUCGUUUACUGUUUGUCAUGGCAGGUGUUGAAAGAUGGUGGGCGCUGGUCGGGAGCGUGGUCUGAGGUCUUCCAUUCCAGACACACCUCUCCGCCGAGCGUAGCUGGACAGUAUGGCCACACCGCCGGGCCCUUCUUCGUCGACUGUGGUGCCCAGCAGGGGACGAGGUAGGAAGAGAGGAGGUGGGGCACGUGGUCGUGGGAGAGGAGGUAGGGUGACUGCUACGGUGCCUUCCUCGCCGCCACCCCCAGCCGUUUCACCCGAGCACGUGACUGCUAGGGUGGACUCGUCCGAGGAGGAGGCUACACGGACUCCGGUCCACGAGCCUCCGGUCCAUGGGUCUUCGGCCCACGAGAGUUCGGCCCACGUGACCCCGGAGGAGCACACGUCCGGAUGGGGUACCUGGCCGGAUCAGCCCGAGGAGCCGAGUGGCCAUGCUGAUGAUGGCGGGGAGCCGACUGAUCUUGAGGAGGAGGGGGGCACCGUCUACCAGCGUGGUGCUACACGGCUCCCGUCCGUGCCGGUGACCCGCGAGCAGAGGUGGUUGAUUUUCCCUGAUGGGGAGAGGUACGUAAGUGCAUUUAAUAUUUUUGUACCUUGUGCAUUCACGUUUUUUCAAAUAACUAAUGUGUUGGCCUUGUCAUGCUGCAGGGGUUGGGACCACCAUCAUAGUGUCCGCCGGCCCAACUCCGUCCUUGGAGUUCUUUGCCGGCAAAACUUCCCGGGGUUUGUCACGUUGCCUGGUGAGGGUCGGCUUCCAGAGCUUGGAUGGAGCUGGGAGCACUACGUGGCUGCCCCGGCCCCGCCAAAUGAGAUUAUCGACGGUGUCGUGUGUGACACGAGGGCAGACAUGGUGAUCAGAAAGUUCUGGGUAAUUUCUCCUUUACACAUUUAAAAAUCUUCAACUAGCUAGUUAUUAAUUGUACUAAUCAACAUUGUCUCAUUUGAUUGCAGACAUUCUACAGGUGUGAGGAGGGAUACGAGGAGGACGCGGCACAUGUUAUCGAGAACGUCUGCAAGCGCCUACUCCAGAACUUACGGCACGAGGCUCGGGUGCAGGCUGUUCGAGACUACUACGCCUUGCGUGGUAUCAAGAAGACCAAGCCGGCGUGCCGCGAUAAGUUCCUAAGUAAGGAGCAGUACAUGAAGGUAAUUCUUAAGGCCUUCUCUACUUAAGUUCCUUCAUUUAGUAAUUCUUAGCCGUAGCGCUCAAGUUUCUAUUUGCUAACUUAGGCGCCUCCGAGAUGGUGUGCGGAUCGGAUGGAUUGUUGGGAGGUGUUGGUCGAUGAGUGGUGCUCACAACAAUGGCUAGCCCUCCACAAGGAGGCCAAGGACAAACGUGCCCAAAUGGAAGGUGUGCCACACCAUCAAGGCAGCUCCAACUUAUAUCAGUUCGGGCGCAACUGGGUAUGUGGUUUGCUUCAUGAUUCAUGCAAUUCAUUCAUCAUGCUAGCUUGAGCCCUUUAAUUACUAAUUUUCAUUGUUUCUCUCUUUCAGGCACGCUACAAUAAGGCGGAUAAGGUGCCAGAGGUGUAUGACCUGUAUGCCAUGGCCCACACUGCCUCUUUUAAGAAAGUCAAGGCUUUCUCUCAGUCUGACCUCGAUGAUGCAAACAACUUCACCAACAUCUCCUCCCACAACAAGCUCGUGAGAUAUAGAGAUGAGGGGAAGGCGAGGAAAGGGGAGGACUUUAACCCGAGCCAGGGUCCCAUUGAUCCAGAGCUGUUGAUGAUAUCUGGUGGUGGGAGGUCCCAUGGCUCCAUAGCCAUUGGAGAUGGACUUAUCCGUUGUCCUAGCACUCUCCCGGAGAUCAAGGCGCGCCAGUCGAGCUCCGCUCCUGAGAUAAGGCCUCGUGAACGGCCAGUGCAACUCGCCAUCAAGGUUAGUGAUACGUACUCAGUUAUCUUUCUCCAUUACAUUGUGUGCGCUUCCAUCAAUGAUUACAAAUGGUCAUGUGAGUGGUAUUGCAGGCUGCUAUACAGAGUGAGAGAGAUAGAACGGAGAAACUUCUGGCGGAGGCGGCGGAGAGGCAGCGGGAGUUGGAGGAGAGGAUGACAAAGAUGCUGGAGGAGGAGAGGGCACGGAAUGACAUGCAGGCAAGGGCCAUGUACGAGCUCCUUGUGGUAAGUUUCUUCUGCAGAUUAGCCAAAACAUUCAUGUAGUGUUUGUCUCAUUACUAACUAGUAUGACUGAGUCGUCAAAACCAAUUGUGCAGUCUGUGUGCGAGAAGACAGGUCAGACCGCUCCGCCGAUGCCAGUGAUUGCUCCUGGGACCACGGUGAGUUUUAUUUGAAUGGACAUUACUUGCUAGUCUUAACAUUUGAGUGUCAUCAUGCUAACAAGACAUUGGAAAUGAUCUUUGGUGCAGCAUAACUCCAGACAAGCAUCGCACGAUCCUUCUCCAGCUACCGACACGAGCCACCCCGCUCCUACACCUCCUGGAUCUUGGUAAGUUUAUCUAGUAUUUUGCUUAACACAUGCAUCAAGACCGAGACUUAGCUUUAUUUCCUCCAAUGCUUACCAUAAUGACGUAGACUUAGCUUCUUCUCCUCCAAAAUGACUUAAUUAGCUCUUAAAUGAUCCAUUUCACCUAAGUUUGCUCAAAAACGAUCCAUUUCACCUAAAUUAGCUCUUAAAUGAUCCAUUUCACCUAAGUUUGCUCAAAAACGAUCCAUUUCACCUUAGUUAGCUCAAAAACGAUCCAUUUCACCUAAAUUAGCUCUUAAAUGAUCCAUUUCACCUAAGUUUGCUAAAAACGAUCCAUUUCACCUAAGUUUGCUCAAAAACGAUCCAUUUCACCUAAGUUAGCUCAAAAACGAUCCAUUUCACCUAAAUUAGCUCUUAAACGAUCCAUUUCACCUAAGUUUGCUCAAAAACGAUCCAUUUCACCUAAGUUAGCUCAAAAACGAUCCAUUUUACCUUAGUUAGCUCAAAAACGAUUCAUUUCACCUAGUUAGCUCAAAAACGAUCCAUUUCACCUUAGUUAGCUCAAAAAUGAUGCCCUUCACCUUAGUUAGCUCAAAAACGAUUCAUUUCACCUUAGUUAGCUCAAAAACGAUCCAUUUUACCUAAGUUAGCUCAUAAACGAUCUAUUUUACCUAAGUUAGUUCUAAAAUGAUCCAUUUAACCUUACUUAGCUCAUAAAUGAUCCAUUCUACCGAAGUUAGCUCUAAAAUGACCCAUUUUACCUAGGUUAGCUCCAAAAUGAUCCAUCUUACCUAGGUUACCUCUAAAAUGAUGCAUUUUACCUAAGUUUGCUCAUAAGCGAUCCAUUGCACCUAGGUUAGCUCAUAAACGAUCCAUUUCACCUAAGUUAGCUCACAAAUGAUCAAUUUCACCUAAAUUAGCUCAUAAAUGUCAUAUAUAUUCUUCUUCUUCUUCAUUUUCUUCUUCUUCUUCUUCUAAUCUUCUUCUUCUAACUUUCUUAUUUCCCAUUUUGCAGAAUUCAUUCACUUCACGAAAGCUUGCAUAGAUGGAGUGCUUGUUUGGAUGAACUAUGUUUCCUUUGUAUCUAUGAACUAUGCAUGUAUGGUAGGAUGACACUAUUGUAAUAUGUAUGGUUGGAUGCAUGUAUGUCGAACUUGCUAUGUAUGGUUGAUGGAACUAUGCAUGUAUGAUGAAAUUAUAUGUGUUGG
rnacentral:lncRNA from 1 species